CCGGGCUCAAAGUUUAUUACUAAUAGCAGUCCAGUGUACGAGACUCGUAAAAGAAAACCCCAGGAGACGUAAUAAAAGUGGGUGCACGAGGGUGCAAGUUGGCAGAGAGAGCACCAGGUCGUACCCAUAGGUUCACAUUUUCUUCCCAUUAUUAGGAUUCAUGCUGUCUCUUUUGUGGACCCUUCACACCCAUGACUUAUCUCCAUCUCCUCUUCUAUGAUGCACUUGUGCUGUAUUUUAUUUUACCUAACAUAGUAACCUCAUUUCUUAGGGCCUAAAUCCUCUAUAAUAUUGGUCCAGAUUUUGACACAUGCCAUACAAAAACAUUAUGAGUUCAGAUUUAUUAUUAUUUUUUAAUAAAAUAAUUAACAAACUUAAAAAAAAUUAUCCCCUCACAUUCUAGUAUUGAAGAAGAGCUCAUCUUCAUUUUCUCAUGAAAAAGUUUCCUUAGUCAAAUCACAAUUGCCAUCAUCCAAUUGCCUUUUACACUUAAUCACGUUUACCUCCUUUUCAACACCUUUAUCAUAUUUAUAACAAUUUAAGUUACUUCCAUUUCCAACCAUCAAUAUGUUGGGAGAUAAGAUAUUUAGUUCUAAGUCCUCACUUCCACCAAUCAUUUUUUUUUUUACAUAAUAACAUAUGAGUCAAUAUUUAGGGUCACUAGAAAGGAUAUUCUUUUUUUGUGUGUGAACUGUGUCUUUGGUAUGAUGAAAGGAAAUAAAAAAAGAGAGGAAAUAAACAAGAAAUAAAAGAAAAGUAUAAGAGUUAUUCAUCUUCUAGUUUAGUACCUGUUAAUGAAAAGAAAGAAAGUUUACUUCCCUUUAUUUGAUUUUAUAGGAAUAUAGAAGAAAAAAAUAUAGGUAGAUUGAAAUACAUGUAAAUAUACAGUAACACCUAUAAAUUAUUUCCUUCCUCUAUUUGUUGAAAUGCCACGUUUUUUUAAUAAUAAUUAUUGAAUAUUUAAAUUCCAAAUUUCACUUCCAAUAAAAUAGGGAAAUAUCAUCACAUUAAAUAAAAAUGUAUAAAAAAAAUAGGAAUUAGAAUAAUGUGCAAUGAAGAUCAAAUAUUGGAUCCAUAAAGAUAAUAUUUUGUACUCUUACAUGAAACUAAAACUUUCCUAAAAUAGAAAUAUUUCAAUAAAACUAAAAAAUCAAUAAUUGUGUUAAAAGUAAUAUUAUAUUUGUUGAAACAAAGAUAUUGCUUAUCAUCAAUAUUUCAAUUGUAUUACAUUUAAAAAUAAUGAUAAAAGUAAUUAAUAAAUAAUAAAAUUAACUACAUGUCGGCUAAAAACUAGUUAAAUAUAUGUCAUGUUGGUCUUUAUUUUUAACUCUAUUGUUAACAUAUUACAGGUUAAUUAGAUAUUUGAUGAAAACCAAGCAAAAAGAAAGAAAAAUAUUUAAAACAUGGUAGUUGAAAGCUAUUCUAUAUAAAGAUAAGAAUUGAUAUUCACUAAAACAAUGGUUGUUAUGAUAGGGGAUCAGAAUUCUCUAAUUAUCGGUUUAUAAGUUAGAUUUUGGAGGGAAGAGAUGAAAAAUAUAAUGUUUUAGCAUUAUCACAUAAAUGUAUUUCAUGAAUUUAAAGUCUUCUAAUCUUUCUUUUUCUUUCUCUUCAAAACUCAAUUCAUAAACCAACAUAAAUGAAAUUAUUUUUUCUUUUGACAACACAACCAAAAAUGAAUUGAAUGAUAUUCAUACUCAAAGCAAUAAAUUUCUCUUGCUACGAUAUUACCUUAGAUUCACUCAAUUUGUAGAACACCUUGCAAGUUGCAAUUCUUCAUCCCAAUUAAUUGAAUGUUUAAUUAUGCAAUCAUACAAAGAUAUAGUUGAAAUUUGAAGGUGGAUAAGAAAGUGAUAAAAAUGCAG
rnacentral:lncRNA from 1 species